rnacentral:rRNA from 1 species
CGCUGGCGGCAAGCUUAACACAUGCAAGUCGAACGGAUUGUUCUCGUAGCUUGCUAUGAGAACAAUUAGUGGCAGACGGGUGAGUAAUGCAUAGGAAUCUACCUAGUAGUAUAGGAUAGCCACUAGAAGUGGUGGGUAAUACUGUAUAAUCCCUGCGGGGGAAAGAUUUAUCGCUACAUGAUGAGCCUAUGUUAGAUUAGCUAGUUGGUGGGGUAAUGGCCUACCAAGGCAGUGAUCUAUAGCUGGUCUGAGAGGAUGAUCAGCCACACUGGAACUGAGACACGGUCCAGACUCCUACGGGAGGCAGCAGUGGGGAAUAUUGGACAAUGGGCGCAAGCCUGAUCCAGCUAUGCCGCGUGAGUGAGGAAGGCCUUAGGGUUGUAAAACUCUUUCAGUGGGGAAGAUAAUGACGGUACCCACAGAAAAAGUCCCGGCAAACUC